GCCUGGGUGGCACAGUGGUUGAGCGUCUGCCUUCGGCUCAGGGCGUGAUCCUGGCGUUGUGGGAUCGAGCCCCACGUCAGGCU
rfam:Ailuropoda melanoleuca scaffold1339_25, whole genome shotgun sequence.